UACGUAGGGUCCGAGCGUUGUCCGGAAUUACUGGGCGUAAAGAGCUCGUAGGCGGUUUGUCGCGUUGUCCGUGAAAACUCACAGCUCAACUGUGGGCGUGCGGGCGAUACGGGCAGACUGGAGUACUGCAGGGGAGACUGGAAUUCCUGGUGUAGCGGUGGAAUGCGCAGAUAUCAGGAGGAACACCGGUGGCGAAGGCAGGUCUCUGGGCCACUACUGACGCUGAGAAGCGAAAGCAUGGGGAGCGAACAGG
rnacentral:rRNA from 1 species